AUUGAACGCUGGCGGCAUGCCUUACACAUGCAAGUCGAACGGCAGCGCGGGAGCAAUCCUGGCGGCGAGUGGCGAACGGGUGAGUAAUAUAUCGGAACGUGCCCAGUAGUGGGGGAUAGCCCGGCGAAAGCCGGAUUAAUACCGCAUGAGACCUGAGGGUGAAAGCGGGGGAUCGCAAGACCUCGCGCUAUUGGAGCGGCCGAUAUCAGAUUAGCUAGUUGGUGGGGUAAAGGCCUACCAAGGCAACGAUCUGUAGUUGGUCUGAGAGGACGACCAGCCACACUGGGACUGAGACACGGUCCAGACUCCUACGGGAGGCAGCAGUGGGGAAUUUUGGACAAUGGGCGCAAGCCUGAUCCAGCCAUGCCGCGUGAGUGAAGAAGGCC
rnacentral:rRNA from 1 species